rnacentral:rRNA from 1 species
UACAGAGGGUGCGAGCGUUGUCCGGAAUCACUGGGCGAAAGGGCGCGUAGGGCGGCUUGAGUGAAGCGUGCGGUGAAAGCCCGGGGCUCAACCCCGGGUCGGCCGUGCGAACUGUCGAGCUGGAGCACUGUAGAGGCAGGUGGAAUUCCGGGUGUAGCGGUGGAAUGCGUAGAGAUCCGGAAGAACACCGGUGGCGAAGGCGGCCUGCUGGGCAGUGGCUGACGCUGAGGGCGCGACAGCGUGGGGAGGCAAACAAGG